UUUGUAAAGGGCAAGGGCAGAAGCAACAAGAUUAUAGCAAGAUUAUAACAAUGAUGGAGAGAAGGAGAUGAAUUCAGGACAUAUUUUAGAUGCAGAGCUCACAGGACUUGCUGAUGAAUUAGAUACACGGUGGGAAUCAGUGAGAAAAGGGAAAGGGAGGAAGGAUGUUUCCUAGGUUUUUAGCCUGAACAAGCAGAAGCCAUCAUAUCCCCAGAUGGGGAACACUACUGGGAGAGGAAUGGAUUGGUUGGGGGCAGCAGUGGUAAUUCGAGACAUCUAUUUGAGCCAUAGGAGCUUUAUAUGGCUAUUAGGCAUCCAAGUGGAGAUGUCAAGUAGGCUGUUGGAUAAACGAGUCUGGAGCGCUGGAUAUAAAUUUAGGACUUGCUGACAUUUACAUAGUAUUUAAGCCCUGGGACUGGAUGACAUCACUGGACAGAGAAUGUGGAACGAGAAGGGGGCCAAGGACUAAGCCCUAGCAAGUUCUCACAUUUAGAGGUCAGGCAGAAGACGGAGAAGGAAAAGCCAGGGAGGAUGAAGGGAAAUUAGAAGAGUGUAAUGUCCUAGAAGUACAACUCAAGUAAAACAGGGUAACCUGAAGUGGGGGCGGGUAGGACAGGAUGAGAGUGGGGGCAGGGGAAGCCCAUUUAGAUAGAGAGGUUAGGGAAGGCCUCGCAGAGGAGGUGACAUUGGAUCUAACUGAAAUUUUAAUCAAAUGAGUGAAUCAUUGUGAAAAGCCAGGGUAAAACAUUCCAGGCAGUGGGAACAGCAAAUGCAAAGGCCCUGUGGCAGGUUAAGCCCUUCUAACUGUAGUAACAUAGAUCAGGUCCAGUGUGGCUGGGGCAUGAAGAGUGUUAGGAGGGGCGGGGCCAGGUUAUACAGGGCCCUGUAAGUCACGGUGAGGAGUUUGAUACUCUGAGCGCAAGAAAAGCUGAGUAAUGCAACUCGGUCUACCUAUUUUAAAGAUCGUUUGGUUUGCUUCGGGGAGAAUGCAUUGCAGCAGGACCAGAAUGGAAUCAGGCGAUCAAGCUGUUGGGAUAAUCCAAGGUCUCCACUCCCACCCUGACCCCGACCUCAUCCCCAGCACUCAGCACUCUCCAGCAGGGGCGAAACAGAGUUGGGGUCACAGAGCUUUGGGUGGCUCAGAAUCUCAGAGAUUGACCGGGGCAACCAAGGGUGUCCAUGGAGGUGGGGUGAAGGGUGGAGAAGCCCGCCACCGGAACCCGGGGAAUCGGACGGUGCUCACCCUCCGCUGCCCUCUCGCAUUCUCCACCUGGGACGCAGCCGGGCGCGGCUCCCCAGGCGCGGCAGCGGGAGGGUUAAACCAUGCGGGAGGGGGAGAGGCGGAGACCAAGCGCUCCGAGCUGCCGCGCCGAGCCCCGCCGGGCCGAGCGCAGCCCGAGCCGAGCCGAGCCGAGCCGAGCAUCUCCCGCCGCCGCCGCCGCCGCCGCCGCCGCCCCGCGCCCCGGGCGCCCGCCCCCACCCUCUACAGCACCCCGCUGCCCUCAGAACCCCCCGACCAUGCCCAGUGCCCCACACGCUCCCGCGACCCCCCAGCCCGGCGCAGCCCCGAGCUCCCGCAGCCAUCGCGCCGCCGCGCCAGGCAUGCAGGUGAGCGAGAGGAACCCCCACGCCCCCGCCCGAGGGAGCCCGGCCCUGCCCUCCCCGACUCCGCGCCUUUCGCCCCCCGCCCCUCCAGGCGCGGUCCCUCGCCCGGCUCGAGCCUCCAGCCCGUAAGCGCGCCUUCCCCACCACGCUUUCCUUUGCUCCAUGGGUCCCGACUCCAUCCUGCCUUUCUGGCGCAGCGGUCGCCGUCCCCGCCGCUGCCUUCCUCCCGCCUUGGGCUCAACCCCCGGCUCCUUGCAUCCUCCAGCCUCGGCUUCCCUUUCUGCUCUCGGCGCUCCCGCCCGAGGAGACCCCUCGCCUACCUCCUGGUCCUCGUCCCCCGCCCCCCUUAUCGCUUUCCAGCCCUGUCCAGGGAGCGUGGGCCUGUGGGAGGGGUGGGCUCGCGGCCGCGCUGGGGAUGGGGCCCGGUUCCCCCAGCCCGAGGCUCCCGCCCCACCCCCAGCUCGUCUCCUGCGCACAACAGUAAAGGCUGA
rnacentral:lncRNA from 1 species